rnacentral:rRNA from 1 species
AGAUCUUCGGAUGGAUUUAAAACAGCUUAGUGGCGGACGGGUGAGUAACGCGUGGGUAACCUGCCUCACACUGGGGGAUAACAGUUAGAAAUAGCUGCUAAUACCGCAUAAGCGCACGGUUCCGCAUGGAACAGUGUGAAAAACUCCGGUGGUGUGAGAUGGACCCGCGUCUGAUUAGCUAGUUGGCAGGGUAACGGCCCACCAAGGCGACGAUCAGUAGCCGGACUGAGAGGUUGACCGGCCACAUUGGGACUGAGAUACGGCCCAGACUCC